rnacentral:misc_RNA from 1 species
UUACAUGGCGACCCUGCCAGUCCCUACGUGUCGCGCUAAAUUUUAAAAAUUUGUCAAAAAGAAAAAUUAAUGUGAAAAGUGGUUAAUUGAUCAAACAACAAUGGGAAAAGGCCAGUCGAAAGAAAGGGAGAAAAUAAUAAUCGCACAGUCAGGAAAUAGUGGAGGUACAAUGGCUAAUGGAAGUACGAGUACUGGGCUUUCCUUAAUUAAAGUUGUGGAAGUUGUGGCUGUAGCAGCAUUAGUAUUAGCCCUUGGCUGGUACUGUCUUAGAAGGUUAAGAAGAGCACUAAAAAGUUAAAUAGCAAGAGAGAUUGCAAGAAGCCAGCAGAUCGCGUAAGAAGGUAAAACUAGUUGUUCCACACCGGAGCCAGUACCGAGGGAACGUUUCUAGCAGUUGCGCAAUGCGGCUAGGGCGCAACGAGGGAUACCAACCUGUCAAUAUUAACAACCCCCGAACCCAAACAUUACAUGGCACACAUAGUUACAUGGCAACACAUUCCAUACAAUAACCCCAAUAGGAUAAGUUGAAACUUCAUGAGCAGGAAGAUGAACAGCAUAAAACGUUUAUUAACCUACUCGUGACGGUGCGAUGCGAGUCGCAGGCGGCGAUGAGUAUGCCGAGCUCGCCGAACUUGGAGGUGGCUAUGGAACAGUUGCGGGUGUUGGCACAAAUGUCGGGCCGACAAGGGGGCGCCGGGUGGUCGCCGCUGGACGUUCCAACAUACCGGCCGAAGCCGAAGACGCCCUUGGGCCCCACGAGAGUCCCAGAAGGCCACGUUCCGGAUUAUACUAUUCGCCUCCUGGUACCAGUUAUACCAUCGUGGAGCGACCUAGCUCUGCGUUACACCACCAUAGGGAAUAUAGGGAAAGGGAACACCAUUAUAGUUCAUUAAGUAGUCCUAGAGGCACCUAUUUGGGCUCUAACCCGAACUUUCAUAGUACGACAGGUGGUGGUUCUAGUUCGCGCACUCCGGCCAACAAUAAGAAACGACCGAUCUCGCCCGAACAAGUGCUUAGGUUGUUCGGAACGGGCAAUCAUGCGACUCCUAAGUCAAAUUCCGAUAGAUCCAGGAGGUCACCAGUGAGUAGUCCGCCGUCUGCUACGCAUAACUACAGGCCUCCGGUAUAUUCACCCUCGAUUCAUGAGCUAGCCACUAGAACUGUAAAUAUGGUCAGGGAUCCUCAGGAUCCUGGAUUUGGAAUUUGUGUUAAAGGAGGAAAAGAAGCUGGUGUUGGAGUAUAUAUAUCGAGGGUUGAAGAAGGUAGUGUAGCAGAACGAUCUGGGUUAAGACCAGGUGAUUCGAUAUUAGAAGUUAACGGGACUCCAUUUACUGGUAUCUCCCACGAGGAAGCCCUUAAGGUAAUAAAAAAUAUGUUAAAAUCCUGUCGAAAAAUCAGCAUGACGGUGCGCACCCCAAAUCUACCAGGAACGGGAUCGAUGGCGUGCAGUGGCGCCCCCUGGCAAAUGCGUCAGACAUGCUCAUGGAUGGAUAGACAUGGUCGGCCCGUGUCUCCACCUCUGGAAUAUUCUAGGGGGCGCCAUAGUCACGGUCGAACUGGGAGUAAAGAUCGGACUGUAAGGCGGGUUGACCUAUGUAUAGAACCAGGGCAAAGCCUAGGACUAAUGAUACGAGGUGGAGUCGAAUACAACUUAGGAAUUUUCAUUACGGGAGUAGAUAAGGAGUCCGUGGCAGAUAGGGCAGGACUUAUGGUGGGCGAUCAAAUAUUAGAAGUAAAUGGACAAUCUUUUAUGGACGUAACCCAUGAUGAGGCAGUAGCUCAGCUUAAAUAUCAUAAAAGGAUGUCGCUUGUAGUCAGAGAUGUUGGAAAAGUGCCUCAUUCUUGUACUGCAUACGAUAGGGAGUUUGACUUAUGUAGUCCAGGGAGUCGCUUGGCAGCCGCUUCCUGGGCUACCAGAAAAUGGGCAGCUGCUCUACAGGCAGUAGAAGAAAAAGCUCGAAUUUUACUAAACAGACCGGAAUUUGGCGCAUUAGUUUACUACACUGAUGAGUACGCUGCCAGACAUAUGACCGUAGAUGCCUUUGUACAGUGUAUGACUGAGUUACUUAAUACGCCUGAUAAGUAUACCCUUAUGACUGAACUUCGUGAAAUCGUGGCAUUGGAAGACCGACAGAAAUUCGACGAAUUGGUAUAUAGGAGAAACGAGGAAAUGCCAAGAAGCAGAGACCCUAGGGAACAUGAUUACCGGCAUUCGAGGAGGAAAGGUGCACCAAUUCCGGACCAGAAUCACACAUCUUACCAAGGAUUUCAUGAGGAGUACGGUCCUGGAGAUAUCCCGGUUUACAAUGACGAGAACAACUAUCGUUCUCCCAGUGAGGAUUCCGGGCUGGGGAUGGGGUUUUCCGAUAAGCAGAAUUCCAGAAUACGGCCGCCGAGCGGAUGCGGAAAAACCGUCGCGGAUCACAACCAGGACGGACAGCAGGAGUUUAUUGGAGAGGAGGAAGAACACGCGGUGGGUAGUAGAAGACAUUCUAGCCCUGGAGAGUCUCGCUCUGGAUCCACGACUCAAUUACAUCAACAGGAUUAUGCUGACUCGAAAACCUUGAACACCUUGACCAUGAAGUAUCGGAAAUGGGUAUAUGCCCCGCUGUGAACAAAAUUAAAGCUGUAGCUGAGUUUCCGAGACCCAAUAAUGUACGAGAUUUAACUUGAAUGAUGCAAAUAUACCAGAACGGUAUCCAGUUCGCGGAAUAUUUGAUCCAAGAUUAACCCAUUAGUGCCCACCGUCAUCAUUUGGUGACGCCAGAAAUUGGUGGGGAUGAGAGCGCCCGAGUAGGUUGGCGAUUGCCGACGGCUGUCUAACGCAAUAGAGCAAUGCUUACGCAAUAUUCUGCAGAUGGUAUUUACUAGUGUUUGUAUUUACUUGUCCGACGAAAAUCACGUUGUUUCUUAAAGAUUUUGACUAGAAAGACCUGCUAUAGGCCCAUAGGUCAUAUUUCCUUUAGUAGUAGGGGUAAGAUACUUUUUUUAGUGUGUUUUACAACCAAAAAGAUGUAGAAAUAUUGUAAAAAUAUUAUAAUAUUUCUAGUUGAAUUUUUUUAGCCGAAAACCUAACCUAAAUCUCUGUGUCCUCAAAUGAGGACACUGGGUUAUUACGUAUUUUUUUUUAAUUAUUUUUAACCAGGCAAAAAAUGAAUAGACAUAGUUUUAAGAACUUAGACGAUGCGGUGGAAUAUCUCUAUUCUAACCAAAUAGAUGUUGAUAUUGCGCUAUUACCUCCCGAGGUGGAUGAAUUGACGGACGUAGACGAUAUCGACGAUGGUGACUUAGGGGCGGUUGAUGUCCAGGACGUCCCAGGGGUUGUGGAGAUACAGGUAGAAGAACAAAAUGAUUGGGAAUCGGAAGAUGAUCGGAACCGCUGUCAAAUUUUAUAAAAAGGAAAAAGGUUGCAUGCAGCACUAAAUCCUGGACACCAAAAUGGACUAAGGAAGAACCCAUGUAUGAAAAUAUUGAACAAGAAAGUUGUGCCGAAGCUUUCCACAAAAUAAAAGAAGAAUUACAGGAAUUAACACCACUACAAAUAUUUGAGAAGUUUUUUGAUGACGAUCUUUAUAAUUUUCUUCAAACAGAGACCAUGAGAUACGCCCAACAGAAAAAUAAACGUGAUUUUUUUGAACUUCGGAGGACCUCAAAAUUUUUAUCGGGUUUUUGAUUUUUUCUGGCUAUCAUGCCUUACCAAGUGAAAGAGACUAUUGGUCUGAAAGAGAAGAUUUGGAUGUUCCUCUAGUGAAAAAUGGGUUUUCCACAAAUGCCUACAAAGAAAUAAAAUCUUGUCUUCACUUUGCUGACAAUUCCCUUGCAAAUGAUAACGAAGACGAUAAGUCAUUCAAAAUAGGGCCAUUAUUUGGGGUAAUAAAUACUAAAUUUCAGCAAUGGGGAGUAUUCCAUACAUUUCUAUCGAUUGAUGAGAUGAUUAUAAAAUAUUUUGGACACCAUGGCCUAAGGCAAUUUAUCAAAGAAGAGCCUAUACGGUUUUGAUACAAAUUAUGGGCGCUUUGUAGUGAUAAUGCGUAUUGCUACAACUUUGCUUUGUACUGUGGCAAGGAUAAUAAAUCAGCACAGCGAAGCCCAAGAUUCCUCUAGGGACAAGAGUCGUAACAAGUAUGCUGGAAACUGUAAAAAAUCCUGAAAGACACACUAUUUUCUUUGAGUUACAACCUCUUGUGUAGCCUAAAAGAAAAAGGCUUCCGAGCCACAGGAACCAUAAGGGAAAAUCGAUGUCAAUUUAACACAUGCCAAAGUAAACCCCGCACAUUUUGUUCGAAAUGUAAUGUCACUCUUUGUGUACCUUAUUGUUUUAACAAUUUUAAUUAAAAAAAAAAUUAGUUUUUUAAUUCAUGUUUCAUAAACACCUCUAAUUUUUUUAUCAGUACAUUGUUUUUUUUUAUAUUUCAAUAUGGGAUUACAUAUAUUAUAU